rnacentral:rRNA from 1 species
CCUACGGGAGGCAGCAGUGAGGAAUAUUGGUCAAUGGCCGGAAGGCUGAACCAGCAAAGCCGCGUGAGGGAGGAAGGCGCAGAGCGUCGCAGACCUCUUUUGCCGGGGGACAAAAGGCCGGGCUCGUCCGGUCCUGAGGGUACCCGGAGAAAAAGCAUCGGCUAACUCCGUGCCAGCAGCCGCGGUAAUACGGAGGCUGCGAGCGUUAUCCGGAUUCAUUGGGUUUAAAGGGUGCGCAGGGGGGCCUUUAAGCCUGCGGUGAAAGCGAGGGGCUCAACCACGCCGAGCCGUGGAAACUGGGGGCCGUGAGUGCGGCGGAGGCAAGCGGAAUGCGAGGUGUAGCGGUGAAAUGCAUAGAUAUCGGGCAGAACCCCGAUGGCGAAGGCAGCGUGCCGUGCCGCCACUGACGCUGAGGCACGAAAGCGCGGGGAUCGAACAGGAUUAGAUACCCUAGUAGUC